rnacentral:rRNA from 1 species
AUGUUUGCAUGGAGGAUUGCGACCAACACUCUGGCUACCAAGAAAAAUAAAUGGAAGAGAACUUUGGAAGUGGAUGCUACAUGCAUCAUUUGUGGCAACGGGGAGGAGGACGAACACCAUGCAGUCAUAACCUGCACCAAGAGCCGGGCCUUGCGGGCAGCAAUGAGAGAAAUUUGGUCGCUACCAGCUGAGCACAAGCUGAGAUAUACCAGAGCAGCCUGGAUACAAGUUGCCCUUGAUGCAGAAAACGAGGAGGUGCACGCCAAGUUGCUGCUACUCCUAUGGCGUUGCUGGAACCACAGGGAGGACUGCAUGUGCCAUGAUGGAAAAGAAUCA